AUGAUGAUAAUUGAGUUGCUUGAACAAGGAACAAGAAUAGGAAUCACAUUAGCAAGGACUCGAAAACGGAAGGUUAACGGGUCAAGCAGAGGCGAGGAAACAAGCGUGAACACUAACGCUCGAGGUAAGUGACUUUCGAUUCACUUCUUAGUAUACAUAUAGAGUUUUCUUGUUAUGGUUGAAUGGGAUGAUUGAUGUAUAUAAAAUGGCCGACAAGUAGGUAUGUAUGAAUGCAUUUAGGAAAAUUACGUAAGUACAUGCACGUGUGAGCUAAGGUAUGCACGGGUGUAGUUAUGAUUCAUUUUAUGAAUGUAUGUAAGUAUGGAGUUAUGUAUGCAUGUAUGUAUAUAUGUAGGUAUUGGUGUAUGUAUGUACGUAAGUAGUUAUGUAUGAGCAUGAGCAUUAUGUAUUUGAAUAUGAAAGUACAUACGUGUGUAGGUACGAACGUAUAUAUAUAUGUGGAUGCAAGUAAGUAUGUAUGUAUGUAUGUAUGUAUGUAUGUGAGUAGGUAUGUGUGUAUGUAGUUAUGUAUGUAUGUAUGUAAAUACAUAUGCGAAGAUGUAAUCAUGUAUGUAUGUAAUUAGAUGCGUGGGUAUGCAAGUAAAGGUAUGUAUGUAUGUAGAUGUGUAUUAUGCGUAUGCGAAGAUACGUAGGUAUAUAUGAAUGUAUGUAGAGAAGUAGUAAUGCAUGCGCGAAUGUAGAUAUGGGGUUGGUAUAGAAGAAGGUACGUAUGAGUAUAUGCAGGUAUGUAGAAAUAUAGGAGGACAUGUACGUAUGUAGACGCAUAUGUAUACAUGUAAACAUGUACAUGUGCAUGAUUUAGAUACGUAGAAUUUUAACGUUACUAAUUAUGCGUUUGAGGUUGGUAUGUGAUGCAGGAACAAGUACACCGGAUUCUUACGAAACUUAAACCGAACCCGGAAUAAGAGGAUGAGAAAGAAUAAUUGGAUGAAUUAAUGUUAAAUUGACGAACGUUAUUCAAUCUUUAAUUACAUGAGAUUAAUGUUAUAUGAUGUUGCCUUUGACUAAUGGUUAAGCUGUAUGUGAUGCCCACAGGUGUUACACGGACUUCUUCUGCUGCUAUGGAAGUGAAGCGGACGUAGAUCGAGUCAAGAGCAAGGAUUGUACGGAUAGAUUGGUCACAUAGUUGAAGUAUAUAACGUUUGGAAAUCUAAAUUUUAGUAUGAAUGUUGUAAAAUUCUUUUAUAGUACGUUUAACAUUUUUAGGAUUUGGAUCCUUCGUGAAAGAAAUGUUGUUAAUACGAAAGAAAAUUUUAAAGCUCUUUUUCCGCUGCGUUAUUUUUAAGGUUAAACGUGUUAGGGUGUAACAAGUUGGUAUCAGAGCCCUGGUUUGAGAGAAUCAAGUACAAGAGGAUAGGUACUUGAACUCGAACCUGUGUGCUCUUAUGACAAGAAACCCGUACAAUCCGAGACUCGACCAAGAUCUAAAGGUAGAAGCA
rnacentral:lncRNA from 1 species